rnacentral:rRNA from 1 species
UUAAGUUAUUAAGGGCGCACGGUGGAUGCCUUGGCACUAGAAGCCGAUGAAGGACGUUACUAACGACGAUAUGCUUUGGGGAGCUGUAAGUAAGCUUUGAUCCAGAGAUUUCCGAAUGGGGAAACCCAGCAUGAGUUAUGUCAUGUUAUCGAUAUGUGAAUACAUAGCAUAUCAGAAGGCACACCCGGAGAACUGAAACAUCUUAGUACCCGGAGGAAGAGAAAGAAAAUUCGAUUCCCUUAGUAGCGGCGAGCGAAACGGGAAGAGCCCAAACCAACAAGCUUGCUUGUUGGGGUUGUAGGACACUCUAUACGGAGUUACAAAGGACGACAUUAGACGAAUCAUCUGGAAAGACGAAUCAAAGAAGGUAAUAAUCCUGUAGUCGAAAAUGUUGUCUCUCUUGAGUGGAUCCUGAGUACGACGGAGCACGUGAAAUUCCGUCGGAAUCUGGGAGGACCAUCUCCUAAGGCUAAAUACUCUCUAGUGACCGAUAGUGAACCAGUACCGUGAGGGAAAGGUGAAAAGCACCCCGGAAGGGGAGUGAAAUAGAACCUGAAACCGUGUGCUUACAAGUAGUCAGAGCCCGUUAAUGGGUGAUGGCGUGCCUUUUGUAGAAUGAACCGGCGAGUUACGAUUUGAUGCAAGGUUAAGCAGUAAAUGUGGAGCCGUAGCGAAAGCGAGUCUGAAUAGGGCGUUUAGUAUUUGGUCGUAGACCCGAAACCAGGUGAUCUACCCUUGGUCAGGUUGAAGUUCAGGUAACACUGAAUGGAGGACCGAACCGACUUACGUUGAAAAGUGAGCGGAUGAACUGAGGGUAGCGGAGAAAUUCCAAUCGAACCUGGAGAUAGCUGGUUCUCUCCGAAAUAGCUUUAGGGCUAGCCUCAAGUGAUGAUUAUUGGAGGUAGAGCACUGUUUGGACGAGGGGCCCCUCUCGGGUUACCGAAUUCAGACAAACUCCGAAUGCCAAUUAAUUUAACUUGGGAGUCAGAACAUGGGUGAUAAGGUCCGUGUUCGAAAGGGAAACAGCCCAGACCACCAGCUAAGGUCCCAAAAUAUAUGUUAAGUGGAAAAGGAUGUGGCGUUGCCCAGACAACUAGGAUGUUGGCUUAGAAGCAGCCAUCAUUUAAAGAGUGCGUAAUAGCUCACUAGUCGAGUGACACUGCGCCGAAAAUGUACCGGGGCUAAACAUAUUACCGAAGCUGUGGAUUGUCCUUUGGACAAUGGUAGGAGAGCGUUCUAAGGGCGUUGAAGCAUGAUNNNNNNNNNNNNNNNNNNNNNNNNNNNNNNNNNGUAAGGACAUGUGGAGCGCUUAGAAGUGAGAAUGCCGGUGUGAGUAGCGAAAGACGGGUGAGAAUCCCGUCCACCGAUUGACUAAGGUUUCCAGAGGAAGGCUCGUCCGCUCUGGGUUAGUCGGGUCCUAAGCUGAGGCCGACAGGCGUAGGCGAUGGAUAACAGGUUGAUAUUCCUGUACCACCUAUAAUCGUUUUAAUCGAUGGGGGGACGCAGUAGGAUAGGCGAAGCGUGCGAUUGGAUUGCACGUCUAAGCAGUAAGGCUGAGUAUUAGGCAAAUCCGGUACUCGUUAAGGCUGAGCUGUGAUGGGGAGAAGACAUUGUGUCUUCGAGUCGUUGAUUUCACACUGCCGAGAAAAGCCUCUAGAUAGAAAAUAGGUGCCCGUACCGCAAACCGACACAGGUAGUCAAGAUGAGAAUUCUAAGGUGAGCGAGCGAACUCUCGUUAAGGAACUCGGCAAAAUGACCCCGUAACUUCGGGAGAAGGGGUGCUCUUUAGGGUUAACGCCCAGAAGAGCCGCAGUGAAUAGGCCCAAGCGACUGUUUAUCAAAAACACAGGUCUCUGCUAAACCGUAAGGUGAUGUAUAGGGGCUGACGCCUGCCCGGUGCUGGAAGGUUAAGAGGAGUGGUUAGCUUCUGCGAAGCUACGAAUCGAAGCCCCAGUAAACGGCGGCCGUAACUAUAACGGUCCUAAGGUAGCGAAAUUCCUUGUCGGGUAAGUUCCGACCCGCACGAAAGGCGUAACGAUUUGGGCACUGUCUCAACGAGAGACUCGGUGAAAUCAUAGUACCUGUGAAGAUGCAGGUUACCCGCGACAGGACGGAAAGACCCCGUGGAGCUUUACUGUAGCCUGAUAUUGAAAUUCGGCACAGCUUGUACAGGAUAGGUAGGAGCCUUUGAAACGUGAGCGCUAGCUUACGUGGAGGCGCUGGUGGGAUACUACCCUAGCUGUGUUGGCUUUCUAACCCGCACCACUUAUCGUGGUGGGAGACAGUGUCAGGCGGGCAGUUUGACUGGGGCGGUCGCCUCCUAAAAGGUAACGGAGGCGCUCAAAGGUUCCCUCAGAAUGGUUGGAAAUCAUUCAUAGAGUGUAAAGGCAUAAGGGAGCUUGACUGCGAGACCUACAAGUCGAGCAGGGUCGAAAGACGGACUUAGUGAUCCGGUGGUUCCGCAUGGAAGGGCCAUCGCUCAACGGAUAAAAGCUACCCCGGGGAUAACAGGCUUAUCUCCCCCAAGAGUUCACAUCGACGGGGAGGUUUGGCACCUCGAUGUCGGCUCAUCGCAUCCUGGGGCUGUAGUCGGUCCCAAGGGUUGGGCUGUUCGCCCAUUAAAGCGGUACGCGAGCUGGGUUCAGAACGUCGUGAGACAGUUCGGUCCCUAUCCGUCGUGGGCGUAGGAAAUUUGAGAGGAGCUGUCCUUAGUACGAGAGGACCGGGAUGGACAUACCUCUGGUGUACCAGUUGUCGUGCCAACGGCAUAGCUGGGUAGCUAUGUGUGGACGGGAUAAGUGCUGAAAGCAUCUAAGCAUGAAGCCCCCCUCAAGAUGAGAUUUCCCAACUUCGGUUAUAAGAUCCCUCAAAGAUGAUGAGGUUAAUAGGUUCGAGGUGGAAGCAUGGUGACAUGUGGAGCUGACGAAUACUAAUCGAUCGAAGACUUAAUCAA